GAUGAACGCUGGCGGCGUGCCUUAGGCAUGCAAGUCGAACGGGAAGUCUUCGGACUUCUAGUGGCGGAAGGGUGAGUAACGCGUGGGAACGUACCUAUUGGUGGAGAAUAGCUCGCCGAAAGGCGGGAUAAUUCUGCAUAAGACCGCAAGGUGAAAGGGCUUAACCGCCCGCCGAUAGAGCGGCCUGCGUCCUAUCAGCUAGUUGGUGGGGUAAAGGCCUACCGAGGCGACGAUCCAUAGCUGGCCUGAGAGGAUGAUCAGCCACACUGGGACUGAGACACGGCCCAGACUCCUACGGGAGGCAGCAGUGGGGAAUAUUGGACAAUGGGCGCAAGCCUGAUCCAGCCAUGCCGCGUGAGUGAUGAAGGCCCUAGGGUUGUAAAGCUCUUUCACCGGUGAAGAUAAUGACGGUAACCGGAGAAGAAGCCCCGGCUAACUUCGUGCCAGCAGCCGCAGUAA
rnacentral:rRNA from 1 species